rnacentral:antisense_RNA from 1 species
AUGACAGGGCGUUGAAGGGAAGGAAAAGUUGAGGGAAACGAGGAAACUAUUUCCAUAGGAGAAUGCUUUUUCACUUAAGUCGAAACUGGCUUUGUACUGACGCCCAGCAGGGGAAACUCCCCGGACACUCACAGACAUUCAUCUGGUUACUUGCAGGAACAUCUGCCUUUCCUGGUGACACCCUCUGCCCUGCAGUCUUCAUUUUCCCUGGAUAGCCCAGCGUCAUUUAAAUACUCAGAAGCCUCUCUUUCUAUGCUGUUGUCUGCAAAGAGAUGAACGGACCUGUGCAGACGGCUGGCCAGUGACGCCGGGAUCUCUAGGUCCUUCCAAAGUGCCUACGGAAAGCUUUGUCCCAUCCUUGAAAAAUUGCUAAUGGGUUUGGAGAUACAAGGUGGAGAUGACUAGCAAUCAAACUCAAAGGUGGAAGUCACAUCGAGGCAGAUGAGCAGAUGAGGGGACCUAGAGAAGAAGAGAGGUGCAAGGAGAGCCCAGCCAGCAGGA